rnacentral:rRNA from 1 species
CCUACGGGUGGCAGCAGUGGGGGAUAUUGCACAAUGGGGGGAACCCUGAUGCAGCGACGCCGCGUGGGUGAAGGAGGGCUUCGGCAUGUAAAGCCCUAUCGGCAGGGAAGAAGCAAGACGGUACCUGACGAAGAAGCCCCGGCUAACUACGUGCCAGCAGCCGCGGUAAGACGGAGGGGGCGAGCGUUAUCCGGAUUCACUGGGUGUAAAGGGAGCGUAGACGGCCAUGCCAGCCAGGGGUGAAAGCCCGGGGCCCACCCCCGGGACUGCCCUUGGAACUGCAUGGCGGGAGUGCGGGAGGUGCAGGCGGAAUUCCUGGUGUCGCGGUGACCUGCGUAGCUAUCUGGAGGAACAUCAGUGGCGACGGCGACUCUCUGGCACAUACCUGACGCUGAGGAGCGAACGCGUGGGUAGCAAACAGGAUUCGAUACCCCAGUAGUC